UUGAAAUGGAUAUCGCUCGAUUUUUUGAUGACGAUGGGAGAAAUUUAGAUACCUUCCAUGAUCAUAUAAGAAUGAAUUUCCUCGCGCCGAAUCGUCAAAUUCCGCUCGUGAAAACAUCUCGUAAAUUACUGUCAACCUUGCCUUUGUAACUUGAGAAAUUUGGUUUCAUUUACACAGUCAUACAGUCACGAGAUAUUCGGAAGGAAAUCGACCGAUUUUCCCCUCAGCGAGGAUGCUGAUAUUUUAAUCUUUACGUUGAUUCACGGUAACGGAAAGCGAAAACGGUUUCACGUUGCGUUCUCAAUAGCGGCGUUAUCAGAAAUUCCAGUAGCCUGGCGAUCCUAAUUAAUCAUCGCACGAGCGUGUAAUUGAGCCGAUUCACGUAGGAAGACGGCAAAUUUUCGAGCCACUGCCUACUCGCGGCUUUCCUGCACUCUGGUCACGAGAGCCGAAGAUCACGAGAGAAGAAAAUUAUGAUUACGAAGAAA